CCAGUUGGAUCAUUGAAACUAUUUUAGGGUUUAGGGUUUAGGGCUUAGGGGUUAGGGGUUAGGGUUUAGGGUUUACAUUUUAGGCUUUAGGUUUUGCGCGACGAAUAAAACAUAUCCGUCGCGCAAAGUGAAAGUGAAAAAGAUUGCGCGACGGAUAUAUCCUCUGUUCGUCACGCAAUCUGGGCCACACAUUUCACCCCUCCAUCCCCUUUGAACACUUAGUGAAAAUUUCAACCGAAUCAAAAUCUUGAACUAGCGCGACGAACAACAUAUAUGCGUCGCGCAAAGUGAAAGUGAACAAGAUUGCGCGACGCAUAAAUCUUCUGUUCGUUGCGCAAUCUGGG
rnacentral:lncRNA from 1 species